AGGAGAAGUAGGUAGUUAUUAAUUAACCAUACGUAUCUAUGCUAAAAGUGCAAAAAACAACCUAAGUUAUAUUAUCUUAAAAUUAAGAUCUAAGCUGAAAUUUUAAUCAUGACAUCCCCUCAAGCUUCCAAUGCUGUGGCCCUGCUCCCAAAUGAAGAAUAUGAAACACAAUUCUAUGGCUUCCUUCCCUCAUCAUCUGUGCAAGGAAUGGUACUGAUGAUUGAAGAAAAAAUUGCUGAUGCCAUUGAUGACUUGGAGGAAAGCCUUUCUCAGAUACCUGAGAACAUCCUAAGCAAAGCAGACCUGAGUAAAGGGAUGGAAAAAUUCAAGAGUGUUAUAAACAAGAACACAGAAAAAACUCUUGGAAAACUACAACGUCACCUGCUGGAUGAGGUGCUGCGUUUGCCCAACCACCUACUACUUCCAUGCGAUGCUCUGCAAAGUGAGCCGGCCGACCCUUCUCAGGUGGAAGCAAUGAAGAAUAAAAUUGCCGACUUGCACACCCAGUACAGCAAUGAGCUUUACGUUCAGGCUUCCCUCAAGGCAGAGUUGGAGGUGGGCGAGAAAGUGCUAGUUCAGCAGGAACAGGUUCUAAAUGAUAUUCUUUCGGAGGACUCGAAAUCUGCCUGCUCUUCCUUGAGGGAUAAUCUGCGCUUCAUCCAAGACCAUAGAGCAGAUGAGAUAAAGCUCUUGAACGACGUGCGGCGGCAAUUGUCAUCAAUUUUGUCUGAGGGCGUCGUUGAUGCCGCAAACGUACCCAGCGAGGCCGACGCGCUGCUAUGCAGACUCUUGCCAUCUUAGAGGGUCCUAUAACUCAUAUUUAUAUAUUAAUGAUUGUUCACUUCAUGAGUAUAUUAUGCAAUAUUUGUACAUUCCGUUCUGAGCUUCUUGUUAGACAAGCUAAUGGGCUAAUCCUAUAUUGCGUCGAAAAAUUGUGACUCAAAAUGGGUUUUGUUUCCAUGUAAGUCCUAGAUUUUAAAUAAGUUUCGAUCACUGCUAUGUUGAGCCUUUCUUAAUUUUACUAUCCCCUGCUAAGUUCUAAUAAUGAACAGGCUUGAGCAGUAUGUUAAGUUUGAGAUUGAAAUUUAUAUAAAAUAUUGGACAUUUAUAAUCAUGCGAUAAAGUCUUUGUUUGACAAUAAACUUGCUAGCAUCAGCUGUGGCAAGAUUUGCCUUCAAGUGUAACAUUGGCCCAAAGUUAGAAUUGCUCUGCUGUAGUUUAAUCAUGUAAUCACUGAUGCUACCCAUUCAGUAAUGCACGAGAUAGGUCAAUAAUGCAUCACAUGAUCACACUACUUCACAGAAAAACUCUUUGUAGCUUUGAGCAAAUGUUACACUUUAUAGUCUCAUUUCUCCAAUAUUAGAGAACAGUAUAAUCUUUUUCAGGGUCUUGGAAUACUUUUAAAUAUCCCACUUUAUUCGUGUUUUCCUCAGUGUUGCUUAAGUGUCCGUUGAGAUGGAGCAAAAACAACUACUGUAACUGUUAGACCACUUGAUCUCUAAACGGAUUUGACAGAUGCUAUGUUUUUCCCCAUUUUUUUCUUCUUUCGUUGUUUUGCGAAGCAUCACUUUUGCUCUCGUUAGUUACAUUUUUAACGCAACCUACCUGUGUGGUAAACCUGACGCUAAAGAUAGAAAUAAAAACAAAUUUUCUACAAGUUUCAACUUCGUAUCUUUUACGCAGAUAAAUUAAUGAAACGCUUGUU
rnacentral:misc_RNA from 1 species